AGAUCCUUUAUUCAAAAAGCAAAACAAUAAAGAACCAUGCUUGUUAAGCUUAGACUAAAGCAGAAAAACAACAAAAAGGCCAAAAAACCCAGCCCAAAAUAGAGAACAAAACAAAAACCAGAUAAGAUCCAGCUAGGCAGAGAUGGGGAGCUCUAGAGUCUUCUUAACAGCUAGCUGUUAACCAUUACAACCCAUCCCAUCAACAACAACAAAUGUAUUUGGGGAAACGCUACUAUCAUAAUUACCCCCAUUUAUUGAAACUCAAUUUCCAUUACUUUCCUCGGAAAUUCAAAAGAGCUUCUAUCUUCCUUUAUGCAAAGUUUCUUUCCAAAACCGUCCUGAAACACACCCAGCGUUUCAACUUCUCAAGAAUCCGUCCAUCGCUGAUCCUUAGACAGAGCUUCCUUCACUCCAGCAGUAAACAACGACAGCAGAUAAGUCGUUUCUCCCCUCAGUAAACCCUCUUUUGCAAGAAGAUGAGCAAUGUUGUUUUCCGCUCUGGGCAUAAAUCGAAAAUCACAGGAUUCAAAACCCAUGCUCAGAUGCUUUGAAUCAUUUAUGAAAACUUCAAUUUCUAACCUGUCUUCAUCUCGCUUUUGCAGUUUAUGGAUUACUGUUUGAGAGUCACCUUCAACCACUACCUUACUCAGACCUUGAUGUAACCCGAGUUGAAUCGCCUGAACACACGCCACCGCUUCAGCAGCAAAAGCAGAAGGUAUAUUCUUUUGAAAAACGACUUUAGCAUUAACCACUACUGCCCUUGCAUUCUUUACGACUAUUCCCGAACAUGACUAUUUCUUAUCCUUGUUAAAAGCAGCGUCAAAAUUGAUUUUGACCCACGGAUCUUUCGAACCAGCCCAUCGACUCGUAGAAAACCGCCUCACUGUUAAGCACGAACUCAACCCAUCCAAUUCUUUUAUGUAAUCCUUAUAAAAUAUGCCACUCUAGAACCAGAUUUUGAUUCACCUUCAUGAAUGAAUCUAUUUCUUGUACUCCAUAGCACCCACAAAACACAAGCAAUCACUCUGCAUUGACUAAAAGAAUUUUGUUCAAAGAUGUUGCUAAUCCAAGCAUUGAAAUCAGUAAAUUCCUCUUGCAAAGGCCAGUUAAAGCCUAAUCUGUCCCAUGUUUCCUUUGCUAUAGGGUAUUCCUUGAAAACGUGCUCCCUGGAAUCCGGUCCGUUAUGGCACAUUCGGCAAGUUGCAGAUCCCAUAAGUCUCUUGUAGUGUAGAUUACAGAAAGUAGGCAAAAAGUUGUAAAAAAUCCUCUAAUUUGUAAUUUUAAUUUUAGGAGGUAAAUCUAGACUCCAUGAUCUUUUGUAAAAGUGGUUGUAAUUUGAUUGGGUUUGAGUCUAUCCCUCUUGUAAAAGAAGUUUGUGACCGUUGUGAACCAUGUACUCUCCUGUCGGCUCCCCACAAUAGAUUAUAUGAUCUUCAUGCUAGUUCAUGGACAGAGGGAUACAUAAAAUUCGAUCCGCGUCCUUUUCCAAAAAGGUAUUGUAGAUCAAGUUAGAUUUCCAUUUCCUUGUACUCGCCUCAAUUAAAUCUGCUAUUACUAACAAGUUCGAAUUAACACCCAAAUUCUGGACUCUAAAAUCACUGUUUCCAGGGACCCAUGCAUCACUCUAGAUAGAGACAUUCUUACCAUCACCAAUCCUCCACCCCAUUCCUUUCAUAAGGAGACCUUCUGCAGACCAUAUACUCUGCCAGGUAAGAGAAGGUAAAUUUCCUAACCUUGAAUUCAAAAAAUCUGAUUCUUUAAAGUAUUUUGCCUUCAAAGUACGCACUAGUAACGAAUUAAGAUUUUGUAACAAACACCAACUGUAACAUCCUCUAACCCCAAACCGUCACCGAAACAGGGUUACAAAGUAUUACUGGACCUAUCAGACAAUUUACAGUUAAUACACUCAUAAAAUAAUCUUAAAGUUCCAUAGAUAGACUCUCGAGGUCCAAUAUAAACAGUAGAAUCAGUUUGAGACUAAAAUUAAAAUCACUAUGAAUUUUUUUCUCAAAUUUCAAAAUUAUUCUUAUGAGCAGUAUUCACACGCCCGUGUGGAUUGCCAGUGUGACCCACAUUACCUUGUCAUUAAGUCAUACGACCGUGUUGAGAGCUUGUGUAACUCUCUGUUUAUGACAUUGUCAUCAAGUGGAUUUCACAUAGCCGCAUCGUACGCCCGUGUUUUAGACUGUAUCCUUCACACGACUGAGACACAUGUCCGUGUCUUUGCUCGUGUGCUUAUUUUUAAGCUAAAAUUCAAGACACAGGGGUUACACGGUCUGGCCACAUGCCCGUGUACCAAGCCGUGUGGACUCAAAAUGAGUAUCUAACAGUUAAUUUUCUAACUCUACAAAUUUCAACCACAAUCAACAUAAAAUACUUAUGUUCCAUCAAUCUAGACACAAUCAAAUACGCUUAUAAUUUGCCAAAUUUAACAUUUUAUAUAUUAUACAAUAUUCAAUUCUAAUCACUUAUCAAAUAUCAUCAAAUAAUUCAAAUUCACACCAAAUAAGCCAAAUCUUAUUAUGUACCAUUACCAAAUCUCAAUCUACUUAUUUCAUCCUUACAUUCUCAAUUCAAAAUGACAUACACGUAAGACACCCUAGGUACAUGCCAUUACCAAUAAUUAGCAUACUUUACCUUAUUGAAUUCGGGAUCAUCCUGGGAUGCUGAUUCAACAUUCUAGCUUUAACUUAUCCUGCGCACGGAAACAAACCGUACGUUGAGUAUGGAUAUACUCGGUGGUAUUUCUAUAAUCCGAACAUCAAAUAAAAUGAAAAUAUAACAAACACUUAAAAAUCAUAUAAUAAUUAGAAUUAUUCAAUUAUUUAAUUUCGUAGAUAAAUUGUUUAUAACUUAUUUCAUUCUUUUUACUUACUAACCUGUAUAGUUUUCCGUAAUACGUUCACACGUCAUUUUAAAACAAUAAUAUUAUUCACUUCUCAAUCACCGUUCUAUACUUAUUCAUUUCAUUAACAGUUAUUAUUAUUCAUAUCAUUAUCUUGCUAUUCUAGAUAACUUCCACUAUAUACAUUCGAUUCAUAUAUCUCAAUUCACAUUUCAAUUCAUCAAGUGGCAUCAAAUAUCAUCAAUUCGAACUUCAAUCAUUUCAUGAACCUUUGGUUCAAGUUUCAAUCUCAUAUCUCAAUUUCAAUUCUCAAUUCAAUUUCUCAUUUCAUUUCAAUAGCUCAAUCAAUCAAAUUUAUUCGAUUUAUCUCUUUAUUUAUUUACUCCUAUUAACAAGACUCGGACCUUGGCGGAUACACUAUCCAACCAAACACACCAGAUUGGCACCCAGUGCCUCAUUGGAUAAUUCGAAGCAAUAGUUGACACCCAGUGCCUCAUCGGCCUAGCCAAAGUAAAGUUGGUAUCCAGUACCUCAUCGAAUUUAUCCAAAGAAAUAUAGUGACACCCAGUGUCUCAUCGACUCAAGGUUGAAGUAUCCCUGAACACUUCCAAUCUUAUGGCAUGCCAACUAUAUCCGACCUAGCCCGAUACUGUUAGUAGGGUAUCUAAAUCACAUUUAAUUUUAUUUCAAUCACAAUUUCUCACAUUUUGAAUUCAAUCAUUUUUCCACCUUUCAAUCAAUAUUCAAUCCAUUUAUUUACACAUUUUUCACAAUAAUCAUAUCAAUUUCAUCAUAUUCUCAAUCAGUAAAAUUUUCAAUAUAACAUACAUUCAAUAUUUAAUUUUUACCUCACUCACAUAUAUCAUAUAAAUUCAAUUCAAUUCAAUCAAUAUAAUUUCAAUAAAUUCAUUAUAUAUCAAAUCAAUCCAUUUCAAUUAUAAAACACAAUAAUUCUAACACUAACAAUUUCCAUAUGCAUUAAAUAAAAAUACAACAAUUAAAUACUAAUUUCGGAUUAUAGAAAUACAAACCGUAAUUUCUAAGCUAACUCCCGUUGUCUUUGCCUUUUUCCUUGCUUAGCUGAGGCUUUCGGCACAAUGUUAGCUACGGUAAUUAAAAUAAUUAUACUAUUAAUUACAGUAUUAAUUAUAAUAAAUAAUUAAAUUUCUAAUCAAUUCUCACCUUAUUCCUAAUUUAAUCCUUACUAAGUUUACUCACUUUCCUAAUUAAAUUCACUCUUUAUUUCCAUUCAAAUUUUAUCCAAACUCAAAUUUAAUUAUUAAAUUUCCAGCAUAUUUUCAUAAUUUUGAAUUUAUUUCCAUUUAAGCCCUAAAACUCAAAACUUAUAGCUUAGUUUACAAUUCAAUCCUUUAUUCAAUUCAAAUCAAAAUUUCUAUCAAAUAAACCCCCAAUUCCAUCAUUUUAUUCAACAUGAACCAUAUUUAGAAAUCUAAUAACUUUCAAAAUUUCCACUUAAAACAAGUAGUAUUUAUCUCUAGGAUUUCAAAAACUCAAAAAUCAUAAGAAAAGGGGCUAAAUUGACUUACCAAAUUAACUUGAAACAUUUAAAACCAUAUUUUUCCCUUUUUCUUUUCUUUCUUUCUCCCUUCUCUGUUUCGUCCCCUGCUAUUCUGUUUCUUUCCUUCUUUUUAUUCUUUUGUUUCUUAUAUAUAUAUAAUAACAAUAAUAACUAUAAUAAAAAUCUAUUUAAUAACAAAUAUUUAUUUAACACUUGUACCAAUCAUUUUUAUACGCUUGUUUUUCUUUUCUUUUAUAUAUAUAUAAUAACUUAAUAAUAUACUUAUAUAAUAAGUAAACAUACAUGUAUUUUACAAAUGUAUGUAUACUAAUAUUACACAUGUCAUUAUACAUACCAUACAUUUGUCAUUCUUUUCUUUAUUUAUCAUAUAAAUAUCUUUUAUAAAUAAUAAUUAUCUUUUAAUAAUUAAAAACAUGUAUUACAAUUGUAUGUAUUUUCAUUAAUACACUUGUAUCCAAUCAUUACCAUACAUUUGUCUUUAUUUAAUUUAUUUCAUAAUAUAAUAUCAAUUAAAUAAUAAUAAAUACAUUAAUAUUUACUUAAAUAAUAAGUAAAUACAUACAUGUAUUAUAAUUGUAUGUACAAUAUUUAUUACACAUG
rnacentral:lncRNA from 1 species